rnacentral:rRNA from 1 species
GGCUCAGAUUGAACGCUGGCGGCAUGCUUUACACAUGCAAGUCGAACGGUAACAGGUUAAGCUGACGAGUGGCGAACGGGUGAGUAAUGCAUCGGAACGUGCCCAGUCGUGGGGGAUAACGCAGCGAAAGCUGUGCUAAUACCGCAUACGAUCUAUGGAUGAAAGCGGGGGAUCGCAAGACCUCGCGCGAUUGGAGCGGCCGAUGUCAGAUUAGCUAGUUGGUGGGGUAAAGGCCCACCAAGGCGACGAUCUGUAGCUGGUCUGAGAGGACGACCAGCCACACUGGGACUGAGACACGGUCCAGACUCCUACGGGAGGCAGCAGUGGGGAAUUUUGGACAAUGGACGCAAGUCUGAUCCAGCCAUUCCGCGUGCAGGAUGAAGGCCCUCGGGUUGUAAACUGCUUUUGUACGGAACGAAAAGGCUCUGGUUAAUACCUGGGGCUCAUGACGGUACCGUAAGAAUAAGCACCGGCUAACUACGUG